rnacentral:rRNA from 1 species
GACGAACGCUGGCGGCGUGCUUAACACAUGCAAGUCGAACGGAAAGGCCCUGCUUUUGUGUGGUUCUCGAGUGGCGAACGGGUGAGUAACACGUGAGUAACCUGCCCUUGACUUUGGGAUAACUUCAGGAAACUGGGGCUAAUACCGGAUAGUAGCUCCUGCUGCAUGGUGGGGGUUGGAAAGUUUCGGCGGUUGGGGAUGGACUCGCGGCUUAUCAGCUUGUUGGUGGGGUAGUGGCUUACCAAGGCUUUGACGGGUAGCCGGCCUGAGAGGGUGAACGGGCACAUGGGGACUGAGAUACGGCCCAGAGUCCUACGGGAGGCAGCAGUGGGGAAUAUUGCACAAUGGGCGGAAGCCUGAUGCAGCAACGCCGCGUGCGGGAUGAAGGCCUUCGGGUGGUAAACCGCUUUCGCCUGUGACGAAGCGUGAGUGACGGUAAUGGGUAAAGAAGCACCGGCUAACUACGUG